AAUAUACUCCCUCCGUUCCGAAUUACUUGUCUUAGAUUUGUCUAGAUACAAAUGUAUCUAGCACUAAAAUGAGUCUAGAUACAUCCGUAUCUAGAAAAAUCCAAGACAAGUAAUUCGGAACGGAGGGAGUACAUA
rfam:Triticum aestivum genome assembly, contig: Triticum_aestivum_CS42_TGACv1_scaffold_129595_2BL